rnacentral:rRNA from 1 species
UACGGGGGGAGCAAGCGUUGUUCGGAUUUACUGGGCGUAAAGGGCGCGUAGGCGGUCGUGACAAGUCACGGGUGAAAUCUCCGGGCUUAACUCGGAACGGUCAAGUGAUACUGUCGGACUAGAGUACAGAAGGGGCAACUGGAAUUCUCGGUGUAGCGGUGAAAUGCGUAGAUAUCGAGAGGAACACCUGCGGCGAAGGCGGGUUGCUGGGCUGAUACUGACGCUGAGGCGCGAAAGCCAGGGGAGCGAACGGG